GAUAAGGAGCUUGCUCCUUUGACGUUAGCGGCGGACGGGUGAGUAACACGUGGGUAACCUACCUAUAAGACUGGGAUAACUUCGGGAAACCGGAGCUAAUACCGGAUAACAUUUGGAACCGCAUGGUUCUAAAGUGAAAGAUGGUUUUGCUAUCACUUAUAGAUGGACCCGCGCCGUAUUAGCUAGUUGGUAAGGUAACGGCUUACCAAGGCGACGAUACGUAGCCGACCUGAGAGGGUGAUCGGCCACACUGGAACUGAGACACGGUCCAGACUCCUACGGGAGGCAGCAGUAGGGAAUCUUCCGCAAUGGGCGAAAGCCUGACGGAGCAACGCCGCGUGAGUGAUGAAGGGUUUCGGCUCGUAAAACUCUGUUAUUAGGGAAGAACAAAUGUGUAAGUAACUGUGCACAUCUUGACGGUACCUAAUCAGAAAGCCACGGCUAACUACGUGCCAGCAGCCGCGGUAAUACGUAGGUGGCAAGCGUUAUCCGGAAUUAUUGGGCGUAAAGCGCGCGUAGGCGGUUUCUUAAGUCUGAUGUGAAAGCCCACGGCUCAACCGUGGAGGGUCAUUGGAAACUGGGAAACUUGAGUGCAGAAGAGGAAAGUGGAAUUCCAUGUGUAGCGGUGAAAUGCGCAGAGAUAUGGAGGAACACCAGUGGCGAAGGCGACUUUCUGGUCUGUAACUGACGCUGAUGUGCGAAAGCGUGGGGAUCAAACAGGAUUAGAUACCCUGGUAGUCCACGCCGUAAACGAUGAGUGCUAAGUGUUAGGGGGUUUCCGCCCCUUAGUGCUGCAGCUAACGCAUUAAGCACUCCGCCUGGGGAGUACGACCGCAAGGUUGAAACUCAAAGGAAUUGACGGGGACCCGCACAAGCGGUGGAGCAUGUGGUUUAAUUCGAAGCAACGCGAAGAACCUUACCAAAUCUUGACAUCCUUUGAAAACUCUAGAGAUAGAGCCUUCCCCUUCGGGGGACAAAGUGACAGGUGGUGCAUGGUUGUCGUCAGCUCGUGUCGUGAGAUGUUGGGUUAAGUCCCGCAACGAGCGCAACCCUUAAGCUUAGUUGCCAUCAUUAAGUUGGGCACUCUAGGUUGACUGCCGGUGACAAACCGGAGGAAGGUGGGGAUGACGUCAAAUCAUCAUGCCCCUUAUGAUUUGGGCUACACACGUGCUACAAUGGACAAUACAAAGGGCAGCUAAACCGCGAGGUCAUGCAAAUCCCAUAAAGUUGUUCUCAGUUCGGAUUGUAGUCUGCAACUCGACUACAUGAAGCUGGAAUCGCUAGUAAUCGUAGAUCAGCAUGCUACGGUGAAUACGUUCCCGGGUCUUGUACACACCGCCCGUCACACCACGAGAGUUUGUAACACCCGAAGCCGG
rnacentral:rRNA from 1 species